rnacentral:rRNA from 1 species
CCUACGGGUGGCAGCAGUGAGGAAUAUUGGUCAAUGGACGAGAGUCUGAACCAGCCAAGUAGCGUGAAGGAUGACUGCCCUAUGGGUUGUAAACUUCUUUUAUAUGGGAAUAAAAUGUUCCACGUGUGGGAUUUUGUAUGUACCAUAUGAAUAAGGAUCGGCUAACUCCGUGCCAGCAGCCGCGGUAAUACGGAGGAUCCGAGCGUUAUCCGGAUUUAUUGGGUUUAAAGGGAGCGUAGGUGGAUUGUUAAGUCAGUUGUGAAAGUUUGCGGAUCAACCGUAAAAUUGCAGUUGGAACUGGCGAUCUGGAGAAUAGUGGAGGUGGGGGGAUUGGGGGGGGUAGGGUG